AGAGGGUGCGAACGUUGCUCGGAUUUACUGGGCGUAAAGCGCGUGUAGGCGGGCACGCAAGUCGGUUGUGAAAUCCCUGGGCUCAACCUAGGAACUGCAUCCGAAACUGCGUGUCUUGAGUAAUGGAGAGGGUGGCGGAAUUCCCGGUGUAGAGGUGAAAUUCGUAGAUAUCGGGAGGAACAUCAGUGGCGAAGGCGGCCACCUGGACAUUUUACUGACGCUGAGACGCGAAAGCGUGGGGAGCAAACAGGAUUAGAUACCCUGGUAGUCCACGCCGUAAACGAUGAGAACUAGGUGCAGCGGAUAUUGACCUCUGCUGUGCCGUAGCUAACGCGUUAAGUUCUCCGCCUGGGGAGUACGGCCGCAAGGCUA
rnacentral:rRNA from 1 species